rnacentral:lncRNA from 1 species
GUUAUGUUUUGUUCCUUACAGCUCUAUACUACUGGUUGUAGUAUUGUAUUUUCACAGGUACAGCUAUCGCUUCGUAUAUAGGAAAAUUUUUUUUGUAUACGACGGAUUUGUCGGCGUGCCCAGGGAACGUGAUAUCUGGGGCGUGACAGAUUAAGUUGGUAUCAGAGCUUUGCAUUAGGUCGUUGGGACCUAGGAAACCUAAGUUUGGCAAACCUUAAAAAGGCAAGACGCGAGAGGUGUGAUUUAUCGCGAAAGUCAAUGAUUAAUUAUUUUAACUCCUCCUAGAGUGGAGUGAGUGAUUGAAGGAGUGUCUGUUUCGGUCAGAGAAAUUAUGUUGGCUGCAGACGACAUAAUUUUGAGGAGAAACAGAGGCCGCCUUCUAGACUUUCGUUGAUUAGGUCGAGAGUGUUUGUUUAAU